AGUGAACGCUGGCGGUAGGCCUAACACAUGCAAGUCGAACGGCAGCACAAUAAGCUCUUGCUCUUACGGGUGGCGACUGGCGGACGGGUGAGGAAUACAUCGGCAUCUACUUUUUCUUGGGGGAUAACGUAGGGAAACUUACGCUAAUACCGCAUACGACCUACGGGUGAAAGCAGGGGAUCUUCGGACCUUGCGCGAUUGAAUGAGCCGAUGUCGGAUUAGCUAGUUGGCGGGGUAAAGGCUCACCAAGGCGACGAUCCGUAGCUGGUCUGAGAGGAUGAUCAGCCACACUGGAACUGAGACACGGUCCAGACUCCUACGGGAGGCAGCAGUGGGGAAUAUUGGACAAUGGGCGCAAGCCUGACCCAGCCAUACCGCGUGAGUGAAGAAGGUCUUCGGGUUGUAAAGCCCUGUUGUUGGGAAAGAAAAGCAGCAGGUUUAUGCACCGCUGUUCUGACGGUACCUAAAGAGUAAGCACCGGCUAACUUCGUG
rnacentral:rRNA from 1 species